AUUGAACGCUGGCGGCAUGCCUUACACAUGCAAGUCGAACGGCAGCACGGGAGCAAUCCUGGUGGCGAGUGGCGAACGGGUGAGUAAUAUAUCGGAACGUGCCCAGUCGUGGGGGAUAACGCAGCGAAAGCUGUGCUAAUACCGCAUACGAUCUAAGGAUGAAAGCGGGGGAUCGCAAGACCUCGCGCGAUUGGAGCGGCCGAUAUCAGAUUAGCUAGUUGGUGGGGUAAAGGCCCACCAAGGCGACGAUCUGUAGCUGGUCCGAGAGGACGACCAGCCACACUGGAACUGAGACACGGGCCAGACUCCUACGGGAGGCAGCAGUGGGGAAUUUUGGACAAUGGGCGCAAGCCUGAUCCAGCAAUGCCGCGUGCAGGAUGAAGGCCUUCGGGUUGUAAACUGCUUUUGUACGGAACGAAACGGCCCUUUCUAAUACAGGGGGCUAAUGACGGUACCGUAAGAAUAAGCACCGGCUAACUACGUGCCAGCAGCCGCCGUAA
rnacentral:rRNA from 1 species